rnacentral:rRNA from 1 species
UGGGGAAUAUUGCACAAUGGGGGAAACCCUGAUGCAGCGACGCCGCGUGAGUGAAGAAGUAUUUCGGUAUGUAAAGCUCUGUCAGCAGGGAAGAAAAUGACGGUACCUGACCAAGAAGCCCCGGCUAACUACGUGCCAGCAGCCGCGGUAAUACGUAGGGGGCAAGCGUUAUCCGGAUUUACUGGGUGUAAAGGGAGCGUAGACGGUGAUGCAAGUCUGGAGUGAAAGCCCGGGGCCCAACCCCGGGACUGCUUUGGAAACUGUGUGACUGGAGUGCAGGAGAGGUAAGUGGAAUUCCUAGUGUAGCGGUGAAAUGCGUAGAUAUUAGGAGGAACACCAGUGGCGAAGGCGGCUUACUGGACUGUAACUGACGUUGAGGCUCGAAAGCGUGGGGAGCAAACAGG